UUAAUAUUAUUUAUCAAAAUACUCUAAAAUUGAGUAAUAAUAGUGGAAAUUUUAUGUGUUCUAUAUAAUUAUAUGUGCGUGUGUGUUACAAAUAUUGCAGCCGUGUUUGAAAGAGGAUUGACAAAAAAGAGCAUUGAAAGAGUUGGUUUUGAGGUUUGACUCGAACCAUACUCAAAAGUUAAAUUAAAUAUUUUUUGAAAUGCUUUCUAUUAUGUUUGUUGGAGGAGCUUCAACUUGUGGAUCAAAACACAAUUGAUUUUGUAUUUAGCCAUCAGAGUCCAGCUAUGAAAAUCCAUUUUUGAUGAUGGUUUGGCCAAAGAAUUUUGCUAGGGACGAGGAAAGGGCAAAAAUAAAUUUUGUGAUCUAGUGCCUUGCGAUGUCAUCACAGGAAUUGCUUUGAAAAAUUUGCCGCAUGAGACAUAGUUUGCUGUUUUAGAGGCUGCAAAAAGCUGGCUGCGACGUGCCAAUAAAUAUUAUACAAGG